UUGGCCACCUUAAAGAGUGGGGAAAUGGAGAUCCAGAGAGCUGUAAGGGCCUGCGUUGGCUCAGAGACGUGCUUGUGGUGUAGUGUGUGUUCCCUUCCUCGUGUUUGCAAAGGCUUUAGGCAAUAGCUGCACCAUAGCACAGAGCAAGGAAGAAGCAGUUAGCAGAAGUCCAAGGUGCAGGUUUAUUGCCCUCUGUAACUUCUCUCCUGAACAAGUCCCCUGACCCAGCAGGGAAGUUUCUGCUCCACUACCACCAGAUGAGAUGGGCCCCAUUAACACACAGACUGACAAGGACAUGCGCUCAGCACCCGUUGCUAUGAGUGACAACACAGUGCUGCCGCUGUGAUGGCACUGUGGGACCAGAUCCCCAUGGGACUCUGUGCCUCAGUUUCCCCAGCUGCCCAAGGACACUCACACUGGGGCCACCUCCAUCGUUUCCACCAGCCCUACAGGAGAGGCAUCAAAUACUGUUUAAUUCCAUGCCUGCAGCUUUCAGACGCUUGGCGCUGAUUUCUUGCAACACUUUGGAAAAAAAAAAAAUCACACUGCACACCACACCUUUGCAACAAAAGUCCAGUUUGGGAUCCUAACAGAGCACUGCAUGGUACAGCACAGAACACACCAUGAAGCAUUAUGCAAUGAG